rnacentral:rRNA from 1 species
ACGCUCGACACCUACGGGAGGCAGCAGUGGGGAAUAUUGCACAAUGGGGGAAACCCUGAUGCAGCGACGCCGCGUGAGCGAAGAAGUAUUUCGGUAUGUAAAGCUCUAUCAGCAGGGAAGAAGAAAGACGGUACCUGACUAAGAAGCCCCGGCUAACUACGUGCAAGCAGCCGCGGUAAUCUGAGCGGGCUGGCAAGGC